rnacentral:misc_RNA from 1 species
GAUGAAGAACGUAGUGAAAUGCGAUAAGUAAUGUGAAUUGCAGAAUUCAGUGAAUCAUCGAAUCUUUGAACGCACAUUGCGCCCGCCAGUAUUCUGGCGGGCACGCCUGUUCGAGCGUCAUUUCAACCAUCAAGCCCCCGGCUUGUGUUGGGGACCUGCGGCUGCCGCAGGCCCUGAAAACCAGUGGCGGGCUCGCUAGUCACUCCGAGCGUAGUAAUACAUCUCGCUCAGGGCGUGCUGCGGGUUCCGGCCGUUAAAAAAGCCUUAUUUACCCAAGGUUGACCUCGGAUCAGGUAGGAAGACCCGCUGAACUUAAGCAUAUCAAUAAGCGGAGGA